CUUUUACAAUGAAGAGUUUGAUCCUGGCUCAGGAUGAACGCUAGCUACAGGCUUAACACAUGCAAGUCGAGGGGCAUCAGGAAGAAAGCUUGCUUUCUUUGCUGGCGACCGGCGCACGGGUGAGUAACACGUAUCCAACCUGCCCUUUACUCGGGGAUAGCCUUUCGAAAGAAAGAUUAAUACCCGAUGGGAUAAUCAUUCCGCAUGGUUUGAUUAUUAAAGGAUUCCGGUAAAGGAUGGGGAUGCGUUCCAUUAGGUUGUUGGUGAGGUAACGGCCCACCAAGCCUUCGAUGGAUAGGGGUUCUGAGAGGAAGGUCCCCCACAUUGGAACUGAGACACGGUCCAAACUCCUACGGGAGGCAGCAGUGAGGAAUAUUGGUCAAUGGGCGCGAGCCUGAACCAGCCAAGUAGCGUGAAGGAUGACUGCCCUAUGGGUUGUAAACUUCUUUUAUAUUAGAAUAAAGUGCAGUAUGUAUACUGUUUUGUAUGUAUAAUAUGAAUAAGGAUCGGCUAACUCCGUGCCAGCAGCCGCGGUAAUACGGAGGAUCCGAGCGUUAUCCGGAUUUAUUGGGUUUAAAGGGAGCGUAGGUGGACUGGUAAGUCAGUUGUGAAAGUUUGCGGCUCAACCGUAAAAUUGCAGUUGAUACUGUCAGUCUUGAGUACAGUAGAGGUGGGCGGAAUUCGUGGUGUAGCGGUGAAAUGCUUAGAUAUCACGAAGAACUCCGAUUGCGAAGGCAGCUCACUGGACUGCAACUGACACUGAUGCUCGAAAGUGUGGGUAUCAAACAGGAUUAGAUACCCUGGUAGUCCACACAGUAAACGAUGAAUACUCGCUGUUUGCGAUAUACAGUAAGCGGCCAAGCGAAAGCAUUAAGUAUUCCACCUGGGGAGUACGCCGGCAACGGUGAAACUCAAAGGAAUUGACGGGGGCCCGCACAAGCGGAGGAACAUGUGGUUUAAUUCGAUGAUACGCGAGGAACCUUACCCGGGCUUAAAUUGCAGUGGAAUGAUGUGGAAACAUAUCAGUGAGCAAUCACCGCUGUGAAGGUGCUGCAUGGUUGUCGUCAGCUCGUGCCGUGAGGUGUCGGCUUAAGUGCCAUAACGAGCGCAACCCUUAUCUUCAGUUACUAACAGGUCAUGCUGAGGACUCUGGAGAGACUGCCGUCGUAAGAUGUGAGGAAGGUGGGGAUGACGUCAAAUCAGCACGGCCCUUACGUCCGGGGCUACACACGUGUUACAAUGGGGGGUACAGAAGGCAGCUACCUGGUGACAGGAUGCUAAUCCCAAAAGCCUCUCUCAGUUCGGAUCGAAGUCUGCAACCCGACUUCGUGAAGCUGGAUUCGCUAGUAAUCGCGCAUCAGCCACGGCGCGGUGAAUACGUUCCCGGGCCUUGUACACACCGCCCGUCAAGCCAUGGGAGCCGGGGGUACCUGAAGUACGUAACCGCAAGGAGCGUCCUAGGGUAAAACUGGUGACUGGGGCUAAGUCGUAACAAGGUAGCCGUACCGGAAGGUGCGGCUGGAACACCUCCUUUCUGGAG
rnacentral:rRNA from 1 species